rnacentral:misc_RNA from 1 species
GAUGAGAACGUAGUGAAAUGCGAUACGUAAUGUGAAUUGCAGAAUUCAGUGAAUCAUCGAAUCUUUGAACGCAUAUUGCGCUCUCUGGUAUUCCGGAGAGCAUGCUUGUUUGAGUAUCAGUAAACACCUCAACUCCCUUUUCUUUUUUGAAAUUGGAGCUGGACUUGAGUGAUCCCAACGCUUUCUUCCAAGAAAGUGGCGGGUUGCUUGAAAUGCAGGUGCAGCUGAACUUUUCUCUGAGCUAUAAGCAUAUCUAUUUAGUCUGCCUAAAAAACAGAUUAUUACCUUUGCUGCAGCUAACAUAAAGGAGACUAGUUCUUGUGCUGACUGAUGCAGGAUUCACAGAGACAGCUUCGGCUGACUUUGUAAACUCGAUCUCAAAUCAAGUAAGACUACCCGCUGAACUUAAGCAUAUCAAUAAGCGGAGGA